rfam:Green Sichuan pepper enamovirus isolate ZPE1, complete genome
CUCCAGUAGCUGAAGCGAAAGUUGCAACUGUCAGAACUGUAGUCUUUCACACA